GGAUGGUGAGUUUCAGAGUUAGGGGUAUUGCAGUGGGGGUCCUGGGCUGAGGCUGGGGCCCAAUUCCGAGCACUGACGUUACUGUCUUGUCCCCACAGAAGCCGAUCCUACUGCAGGGCCAUGAGCGGUCCAUUACGCAGAUUAAGUAUAACCGCGAAGGAGACCUCCUCUUUACUGUGGCCAAGGACCCUGAAAGCAGCUGGCCCUUCUCAAGACCAAUUCGGCUGUCCGGACCUGCGGUUUUGACUUUGGGGGCAACAUCAUCAUGUUCUCCACGGACAAGCAGAUGGGCUACCAGUGCUUUGUGAGCUUUUUUGACCUGCGGGAUCCGAGCCAGAUUGACAACAAUGAGCCCUACAUGAAGAUCCCUUGCAAUGACUCUAAAAUCACCAGUGCUGUUUGGGGACCCCUGGGGGAGUGCAUCAUCGCUGGCCAUGAGAGUGGAGAGCUCAACCAGUAUAGUGCCAAGUCUGGAGAGGUGUUGGUGAAUGUUAAGGAGCACUCCCGGCAGAUCAACGACAUCCAGUUAUCCAGGGACAUGACUAUGUUUGUGACCGCGUCCAAGGACAACACAGCCAAGCUUUUUGACUCCACAACUCUUGAACAUCAGAAGACUUUCCGGACAGAACGUCCUGUCAACUCAGCUGCCCUCUCCCCCAACUAUGACCAUGUGGUCCUGGGCGGUGGUCAGGAAGCCAUGGAUGUAACCACAACCUCCACCAGGAUUGGCAAGUUUGAGGCCAG
rnacentral:sRNA from 1 species